rnacentral:rRNA from 1 species
ACAGAGAGUGCAAGCGUUAAUCGGAAUUACUGGGCGUAAAGCGCGCGUAGGUUGAUAAUUAAGUCGGAUGUGAAAUCCCUGGGCUCAACCUAGGAACUGCACCCGAAACUGAUUAUCUAGAGUAUGGUAGAGGGAAGUGGAAUUUCCGGUGUAGCGGUGAAAUGCGUAGAUAUCGGAAGGAACAUCAGUGGCGAAGGCGACUUCCUGGACUAAUACUGACACUGAGGUGCGAAAGCGUGGGGAGCAAACAGG